rnacentral:rRNA from 1 species
GUCCACGCCGUAAACGAUGUCUACUAGCUGUUCGUGGUCUUGUACCGUGAGUAGCGCAGCUAACGCACUAAGUAGACCGCCUGGGGAGUACGGUCGCAAGAUUAAAACUCAAAUGAAUUGACGGGGGCCCGCACAAGCGGUGGAGCAUGUGGUUUAAUUCGACGCAACGCGAAGAACCUUACCUACUCUUGACAUCUACAGAAUUUUUGCAGAGAUGCGAAAGUGCCUUCGGGAACUGUAAGACAGGUGCUGCAUGGCUGUCGU